rnacentral:lncRNA from 1 species
CCUUUCCAUUUUCUCUCCAUCCUCUAGUGCAUUCAACAUUUCAAGCAAGGCCAAGGGAGAAGAAGAAUUGCCGUGAGCAUCAUCCUCCAUCACCAUCCUUGAAGCUUGCUUUCGAGAUUCAAGAGACCACAUCCUCAAUUCGUUCAUCUCAUCUCCAUCUCACGGUUUGACAUAUGUGUGUACCCUCAAUCCCCGGAUAGAACGAUCCCUAUUUGCUUAUACUACUAACGAUAUUUUCAGGGUUAAAUUGU